CGCUGGGCAUGUGGCUGCCGGCGAGGAAAACAGGUCCAGAUGGAAGAACCCAGGAAGCCUGGUUUCCAGGCGCAGGGGCGGGGGCAGAGACAUCCCUCACGUUUCUGAACUCUCUGCCCCUGAACAACUAGGCCCGCUGCUGCAGAUCCACGCUGGCAGCCUCUUCUCAAGAUCUAUGCCCCCGAAUAUGCCAUCCUUAACAAACCCCGGGAAGAACUUCCACAAAGAUCAUCUGAGACAGGGACAGGGUCCCUUUCUCGGCCUGGACUCGGAGGAGCUCUGUGGUUCUGGCUCUGAGUCAGGUCAUAUCGUCCGGGCGUCCCCAGUGCCACCUCGCUACGCCCCGCCCCAGACUGGAAAAUCAGGCUCAUGCCUCUGCCCGAGUCAGUGCUUCCCCUGCUUCCCCUCACGAUCUCGCUUUCCCCUAAAGGGAGGUAUUUCCUCGAAGCUGGGAAAAGUCAAGGGGGCAGAGACCCGCCAGUUACCGGGAGGCAAGAGGUGGGAGGCGUGGAGGCGGACGCUGGGCAUGGGGCAUGGGGUGGGGGUGGGGCUCCCUGCCUUCCUGCCCAUCCCCCCACCCCAUUCAGCCCAGCAGUCCUGCUCUUCUAGCUCAAAAGAUGCAGGAGCGUGGUGUGUAUGUGUGUGUGUGUGUAUCACACACAUGCAUGGUUGGUUUAGGGGGUGACAGUAGGGUGGAGGAGGGGGGAUGUCAUGCUUCUGGUGCCUCUAUGAGUGACACAAGUUUUUUUCCACAUGUAUGUUCUUCACAUGGACCCUGUCCACAUGCCUCUCUCCAGCUCUUCCAGAAUCAAAAUUUGGUCCUGCAGAUCCUCGCUCUUGGCAGCCCGGGGGUCUUAAACAGAUUCCCUCCCUGGCCUCCCCAAAGGUUGGGGGCUUCAGGAAUCAGUGAGGAAGAAGGCAUGAAAAAUGACCCCAUGAGCCCCACGAACCCCACUCCUGGAUCCUGGAUGAGGGCAGGGCAGUUUGGGGAAACGGAACCCUGGCCGGGGGCGGGGGGCGACCUCAGCGUGUGCCCACCUGCCGCCUGGGGGCGGGGUGGGGAGAACGAGGGAGUGAAACAGGAAGAGAGAUGGAGAGACAGAGAAUGAAAGCCAGAGAGAGAAACUGAGAUGAUGGACAGUCAGAAAGAGAUCGAAGGGCAGAACCGGGCGGAGUGGGCACUGGGAGCUGAAGUGUGGCAGUGAGUUGGGGGCGCUGGCAGCAGGGGUCUUCGCUAGCAUCACCGAUGCACAAAAGCUCAGUGCUGAAAGGGUGCAAGUCUUUCAUCUCAAGAAGGGGACAUCAAGGCUUAGUGAUGGAAUCACUAAAAGGGAGAACCGAGCUCAGAAGAACCCACCCCCUUGCCUCCCAGACCUUUUUUUUUUUUUUAAGCCCAGAAGGGUUUCCAGAGCACCAGGCACUGGAGACCUUCAGGUCAGCCAGCACUUCCCACCUUCUCUGGGGUGGGGCUGGAGGCCGUAUUACAGCAGAAGACUGGAGAUGGAUGUGAAUUUGCAUGGCAAACGCACUUCUUCCUUUGAGCUGCUACAGGUCAAUAAAUAUAGCAAACCUUUCUAAAGGAUGCUCUUCCUCCAUUUUACAUACCAUCGUACUGAGAUGAGGGCAUGCAACCUCCUCCUUUGGUGCCAGCUACCAUGAUGCACAGAAAGGAGGCGGUAGAAAAAGGGGCAAGAGUAUUUCAACAUCCAGGAGAAAGAAAGAAAGCGUCCCUCUUAGCCAUCCCCCUU